AUGGCGGCGGCGCGCUGGGACGAACUCCCGGAUGACAUCGUCCGGCAUAUCGAGGCCCUCCUCCCUUGCCCGCUCGGCCGCGUCUACAUGGGCGCCUGCUGCAAGUCGUGGCACAGAGCGACCACCACGCCCGCUCCCGCUGCCUCGCCUCCGCGGCUCCUCCCCUGCCUUCUACUCCCGCUCGCCGGUGGUCCGUCCGUCGCCUGCAUCCUGAGCGGCGGCGCCCAGCACGGCCUCGGCCUUCCGGAAGACGCGCGCCGCGCCCGUUUCUUCGGCUCCUACGACGGCAUGUGGGCGUUCCUCGCCCUCGGCAGCAAAGAGGGGCACGUGCUGCUCAACGUCCGCACCGGCGAGCGCAUCCCGCUGCCCGACAUCGACAUCGGGGACCUCUCGAUUAGAUGCCGCCGGGUCCGCGACGACCACGGAGUCGUCCGGUCGCACCAAAGGUUAUGUUUCCGGGGCCCUCGCCAUCCCGUCAUGAUCCUCGCCGCGACCCUCUCGUCGGCGCCGGCCGUCGACGGGAAGUGCAUCGCCGGCGCCAUCCUCAACGUGCACGGACCCAAAGGCGUUGACAAAUGGCACUACGUCUGCUUCUGGCGCCUCGGCUCGCGGAUCGCCAUCCAGCCACUAGAGGUCUGCGCCGGCGUUGGGUGGUCGGCGCAGGACAUCGCCUUCUUCUACGGCCGCUUCUUCGUACUGACCAAGGGCGAGAACCUCCGGGUCUACACUGUUCUCGACCAACCAGAAGAGGAUCUUGGCACUCGCGGCGCCGUCUUCUACUAUACUGGCCGCGGCGACACGCGGGACUACGCAGAACCCCGCGCCGGAUACCUCGUCGAGUCACGCGGCGAGCUCCUCAUGGUGGCCAAGGAGUGGAUGCCUGACGACGGGGCCACCUCAUGCGUUCGGCUCUUUGCGCUGACUCCGGUCGCGCACCGCAAGCCCGAGUUCUCUCUCGCUUGGACUGCGGUCGGAAGCCUCGAUGGCCGGCUGCUGGUCGUCGGCCCUGGCUGCUCGAGGGCGUACGAGUGCGCCGACUUCCCGUCCGGCUGUGUCGAGGAGGGCGUAUAUUUUCUCGACGACCGCACCUACUACAACGAGACCUACUACGAGCCCUUCUUCCCCAUGCAGAGUAACCCCGGCGAGUUUGCCUGCGCCGACAAUGGAAGGUGCUGCCUGCUGCCCGCUCGUCCCGAGCACUGCUUUCCCAUGAAGCCGGGGGAAGGCUCCUUCUCAGCUUACUCGCCACCGGUCUGGCUCCUACCUUGA
rnacentral:rRNA from 1 species